CCGGGCCCGGGGACCUUUCUGUAAGUCUUUUCGGGUCUCUCAGAAGAGACACGCAGGUGCUCGGAGACGCUGCUGGAGAAAGAGAAAAGCGCUACCGGAGUAACUGUGCGUGAGCGCCCCGGGGCGGGUCCCGGCGGGAACACUCUCUCAGGCUGGCUGGAGCGCGGGGAGGGGCCCGGCGGGGCUGGCACUUCUCACGGGGUGUGUGACCCGCUCGGGUGCCAGUUGGAGAGGCUCCUUCACUUUGGCGAUUGCUCCACAGCCAUGUCCGAGAUCUGGGUUCUCUGGCCACUGAUAUUUACCUCCAUUGCUGGACCAUUGUCUAAAGGUGAUAAUUCCCAUGUGGCUGAUAGCAACUCUGAGAUGCUGAAAUUGAGUAAGAAUAUUACUAAAAGGGAGAGCUGCGGUGAAGGCCUGUAUCGUGAGCACGAAUUUUGUUGUCAGCCGUGUCCUCCUGGCAAACGGAAAAGUGAUGAUUGCAAAAUUGAUGGAGGUGAACCAGAAUGUGUACUCUGUGCAGAGGGGGUGGAGUACACAGACAAGAACCAUCAUUCUUUUAACUGCAGAAGAUGUAGAGUUUGUGAUGGAGAACAUGGCCUAGAAGUGGAAAAAAACUGUACCCGGACCCAGAAUACCAAGUGCAGAUGUAAACCAAACUUUUUUUGUAACGUAUCUCUGUGCGAACACUGUAACCCUUGUACCACGUGUGAACAUGGAAUCAUUGAGAAAUGCACACCAACCAGCAACACCAAAUGCAGAGAAGGAUCCAGAUCUAACUUACACAUUUUAUGGGUCCUCCUGAUCCUCAUACCUGCACUACUAUACAGGGGUAAGUUCUUACUUUGUUCAAACUGUAGAUUGAAGUAACUUGGGAAGUAGUUGUUCACAAGAAUUCCCUCCUGUCUCCUACCUACCAGGAGAAAGAAAGCUCCUACCAGGUAGGCAGCUCUGGUAUGGUGUUAAAUUCCUGUUUCUAAAUGCACCCCUGAGAGCUGGUAAGAACAGAUGAUGUUAUCUCUCAGCUACUGUUUUUGAGCAACCAUUCUGGGGCACUGAUUGGGUGUUCCCACCCUCCCCAUGAACAAGGGUAUUUGUAUUUAGGCAGUAGCUGAGUUGGCCAAGAAUCGGAAGUAGUCCUUCAGUCUACAUUGAGAUCAUCCCAUGCACAAAGAGAAUUCAAGGAGCGAAGGCAUUGCAGGGGACACUUGAUAAAUUCACCCCUGUCUGUGCCUCCUUUCUCUUGUCCAGACUCCAUGCUUUUUGAUUAUUUCUCCACCUUAAUUUAAAAUACUGUGGCAAUACCUUUUAUGCGAGGGUUACUUAGUAAAGUCAGCACGUAAACCAAAAUUGGCUAUACUUAUAAUUACUCUAGAAAAAUCCCUUUAGAUCAUUCAUACAACACAUGGUGGUGCCAACUUUCAAUAACUCUGAAACAUCCAAUUUUUCUUUUUCUGUUGGAACAAAUCACUGUUUCUCCAGGUCAGCUGAAGAUAAAGAGAUUGCCUUGCCAUUAGAGAUUGUUUAACUAAAAAUAUAAACACUUAAAUUGUGCUUGGAGACUUCUAGAUUUCUUUCUUCCACCUCAUACUGACUUCAAGGCAUACACUUAUUGAGUAUAUAUAUUUGAAUUAUUUGUGAGUGUGUGUACUUGAGUUUUGGGGCAUUGAAUGCCACUUCAUGGCAAACUGAUGUCGACUUUCCAUAGCCUAUGGCUUCUGUGCCCAGCUUCAAGCCAGAGAGAGGGAGUGGUGAUGGCCAUACAAUAAGUCAAAAGCCAGCUUCAGGCUAGGCCAGUGUGUGGUAACUGGAUGGCUCCAUUAAGGUGUGGCAUAUCUCUAGACCACUUGACUCGGUGGGAUGGAAUUUUCAAAAUCAGGACGAAUCUGCCUCUUUGGUGCUCGGUUGCUUUAAAUUUCAAUGAAAGAGUUUCUCCUUUCUUCUCACACUUCUCUUAGUCUGAGAGUAUAUUCUCACAUGCUUCCUACAAGGCUGAGACCUGAGUCUGAUAGAAAUUUCUUGGAUCUUUCAGAGGUGAAAAGACGGCGCAGGAAUAGAAAGAAUGGUCACCAGAAAUCUAUCGCCUCAAAUACUGAAAUGAUGCCACUGAAUUUCACAGAUUUGUAGAGCUAAUAUGUUUACAGGCGUUGAGCAUCUCAUGGUUCUGCCUUCAAGGAUGUUUAAAAUCUAGCUGGGAAGACAGACACAGUUAAGAGUAAAUACAGGGGCAUGUCAAGUGCGCAAAAAAGAACGUAUGCAAAGGACAAAAGAUUUCAGAUCAUGUUCAAGUAUCUAACAUAUGAUUCUGUAAGUAUGAAUGUAAUUAACAUAUGUAAAUACAAAUGCCUAUCCACAGGCUGACCUCAUUCCAUAAAUCAGUAGAUGUGAUCUUUUGUUGUCCUGUCACAAUCAACUGGCUCUAAAUGACCUCCCCAGCUCCACUGAUAAUUCUAGAGAUUUUACCAUAUUUGUAAAUUUUGUUUAGUUUUGAGAGGAGCGUACUCAGGGAAAACUUACACAUACAUCUGAAUGUAGAAUAUAAUAAAGUUCUACCUCAAAGGUCUUUGCACAGAUUAUUGGCAUUUCAUGGUGAAAUAUUUCAAUUUUGAAUUCACAUAGAAAAUGCAGACUCAGUUAUAAUGCUUGGCUAUUUUAUAUUUGUUUGUCACUUUGGAUCAAAAUAAUCCACUUCUUUCUCAGGUGUCAAAACAUUUUGAUCAGGAAAGAAUUACUAGAUCAUUGGCACCUCUCCAUUUUCUCCUUGAUGUGCGUCUUGGUGGCCUGUGCACCCCCAGACUUGGAAGGACUGCCUAAGAAACACUUAACUGAUUCAUGCAAAGCUGGGACUGCCCUUGGAAACACCUAGCUUAGUUUGGAGAGACUAACUGGUCUUACGGAAGGUAGCUUUGUGGCAUAGCACGAACCCAUGUCUACCACCAAAGCUGAUAAGUAGAGGCCAAGCACAGCCUGGAGUAGUAGGUCAAGACGCAGUCUGGAAUCAGGCAAAUCCAAGUUCAAUUUCUGGCUCUGCCACAAACUAACUUACAGCCUUGAAUUGAACAUCUCCAAGUUUCUGUUUCCUCAUCUAGAAGAUGAAAGACACAUCUGGCUUACCCUUCUUGUGACUUGGAGAGGAACAAGAAGAAAAUACAUGGGCAAGUGUAAUAAAUUAUAAUGUACUAUGGAACGAGUUGUUAACUAUUAAUGUGCCUAAGAAUCACCUGAGGAAAUUUUGAAACUGCAUAUUUCCCAGGUCUUGCACCCAGAGAUGUUCCGUAGAUCCAGGGCCGUGCCUGGGAAUGUGCAUAUUACCAAGCACCCUUGAUAAUCAUCAUGCUGAAGGCCCUUGGACCGUAAUUUAAGAAACCGCAUUAUACAAAUACAUACGAGUAGAAAGAGAGAUUAAGGCACAGAAGUUAUUCUUAACUCCCUUUGUAAUGGCACGUAUUAUUUUCUAUUUUGAAUAAAAUUUUAUGAAAUCC